rnacentral:rRNA from 1 species
GAUGAACGCUGGCGGCGUGCCUAAUACAUGCAAGUCGAGCGAACGGACGAGAAGCUUGCUUCUCUGAUGUUAGCGGCGGACGGGUGAGUAACACGUGGAUAACCUACCUAUAAGACUGGGAUAACUUCGGGAAACCGGAGCUAAUACCGGAUGAUAUUUUGAACCGCAUGGUUCAAAAGUGAAAGACGGUCUUGCUGUCACUUAUAGAUGGAUCCGCGCUGCAUUAGCUAGUUGGUAAGGUAACGGCUUACCAAGGCAACGAUGCAUAGCCGACCUGAGAGGGGGAUCGGCCACACUGGAACUGAGACACGGUCAAGACUCCUACGGGAGGCAGAAGUAGGGAAGCUUCCGCAAUGGGCGAAGGCCUGACGGAGCAACGCCGCGGGAGUGAUGAAGGUCUUCGGAUCGUAAAACUCUGUUAUUAGGGAAGAACAUAUGUGUAAGUAACUGUGCACAUCUUGACGGUACCUAAUCAGAAAGCCACGGCUAACUACGUG